GACGAACGCUGGCGGCGUGCUUAACACAUGCAAGUCGAACGAUGAAGCUGGAGCUUGCUCCGGUGGAUUAGUGGCGAACGGGUGAGUAACACGUGAGCAAUCUGCCCUUGACUCUGGGAUAACUGCGGGAAACUGUAGCUAAUACCGGAUACUUUCACUGGAAGGCAUCUUCUGGUGAAGAAAGAAUUUCGGUCAAGGAUGAGCUCGCGGCCUAUCAGCUUGUUGGUGUGGUAACGGCUCACCAAGGCGACGACGGGUAGCCGGCCUGAGAGGGUGACAGGCCACACUGGGACUGAGACACGGCCCAGACGCCUACGGGAGGCAGCAGUGGGGAAUAUUGCACAAUGGGCGCAAGCCUGAUGCAGCAACGCCGCGUGAGGGAUGAAGGCCUUCGGGUUGUAAACCUCUUUUAGCAGGGAAGAAGCGAAAGUGACGGUACCUGCAGAAAAAGCACCGGCUAACUACGUGCCAGCCGCCGCCGUAA
rnacentral:rRNA from 1 species